AUGUUCCAUUGAAGACCUGGAAAACAUGUUAAAUAAAAAUGCUUUGCCACAGCUGACCUAUGUCUUCUGGCUUGUACCCCACAACAUCUUAUCUAAUGGAGCCAGUCUUGGUGCUCUGUGUUCACCUGGUUCAUCUGAGGAGCUGCAUCUACCCUGCCCAUGCCAUAGAUCCUGCCCUGUUUGCUUCUCCUGUUGCUGCUAGUGGACAUGAGAAGGACAGAAUAACGGGCUCCCAGAUUCACAAGCCCCACCAAGAGGAUCACCCCAGGAACGCUUGGAGGCUGAGGAGUUCACUGAGGCUACUGCAUCUUGAGACUCAGGAUGAAGACCCAGCUUGGGGCUGUCAAAGAGGCCUGAAGAGGCAGAACACCCCAGAGGAGCCUGGGGCCACCACCCAGCAUCACUGUGGGAAAACGGCAGCAGGAAAUGUCCUCUCGCCUGCGUGCUCCACCUCGGUCCACGCCUUCCCUCCUUCUGGAAGCCUUGCCUGACCACUGGCCUGCCCCUUCUAUGGGAAUCACUACUGACCUUGCAGCUUAUUAUAGACUUAUAUGUUUUUUGCAUGUCUGACACCCAUGACUCCACCUGGACCUUAUGGCUCCACCCAGAAGCAAUUCAGCCCAACAGGAGGACAGCUUCAACCCAUUACGAUUUCAUCUCUGCCCCAACCACUCAGCAGCAAGCACCUGUUACCUGUCCACCCCCACCCCUUCCCCCAAACUGCCUUUGAAAAAUCCCUAACCUAUGAGCUUUGAAUAAGAUGAGUACGAACUUCAUCGCCCACGUGGCGUGGCCGGCCUCGUGUCUAUUAAAUUCUUUUUCUACUACAA
ensembl:lncRNA PVT1 Pvt1 oncogene